rnacentral:rRNA from 1 species
UACGUAGGGUCCGAGCGUUGUCCGGAAUUACUGGGCGUAAAGAGCUUGUAGGUGGUUUGUCGCGUUGUUCGUGAAAACUCACAGCUCAACUGUGGGCGUGCGGGCGAUACGGGCAGACUUGAGUACUGCAGGGGAGACUGGAAUUCCUGGUGUAGCGGUGGAAUGCGCAGAUAUCAGGAGGAACACCGGUGGCGAAGGCGGGUCUCUGGGCCGAUACUGACGCUGAGGAGCGAAAGCGUGGGGAGCGAACAGG